rnacentral:misc_RNA from 1 species
AUGAAGAACGUAGCGAAAUGCGAUAAGUAAUGUGAAUUGCAGAAUUCAGUGAAUCAUCGAAUCUUUGAACGCACAUUGCGCCCGCCAGUAUUCUGGCGGGCAUGCCUGUUCGAGCGUCAUUACAACCCUCAGGCCCCCGGGCCUGGCGUUGGGGAUCGGCGGAAGCCCCCUGUGGGCACACGCCGUCCCUCAAAUACAGUGGCGGUCCCGCCGCAGCUUCCAUUGCGUAGUAGCUAACACCUCGCAACUGGAGAGCGGCGCGGCCAUGCCGUAAAACACCCAACUUCUGAAUGUUGACCUCGAAUCAGGUAUGAAUACCCGCUGAACUUAAGCAUAUCAAUAAGCGGAGGA